rnacentral:rRNA from 1 species
UACGUAGGGUGCAAGCGUUUGUCCGGAAUUAUUGGGCGUAAAGAGCUCGUAGGUGGCCUGUCGCGUCGGCUGUGAAAACUCGGGGCUCAACUCCGAGCUUGCAGUCGAUACGGGCAGGCUAGAGUUCGGCAGGGGGAGACUGGAAUUCCUGGUGUAGCGGUGAAAUGCGCAGAUAUCAGGAGGAACACCGGUGGCGAAGGCGGGUCUCUGGGCCGAUACUGACACUGAGGAGCGAAAGCGUGGGGGAGCGAACAGG